UUUAAUCAAAAUAAAGUCUUUGAGUGAAACUUACUUUAAAUCUCUCCGAAAAUACUACUUGCAAUGUUAAAAACAAUUUUUUUUCUUUAUCCUACAGCUCUGCUUUCUCUGGAGGUGGUAGUUCUGUUAAUUUUUUUCUUUAUGUUACCAAUGUUUUCUGGUGCCUCACAAUCCUUGCUUGAACAUUGAAGGACAAGGGCCCCAGGCUUUGCUGACCAGUUCCUCAUCCUACGAGUCAUCUUCUGCUUUCAUAGCCUUCCCUCGGUCCCCCGGCAGCCACUCUGCACCUACUGUUUCCCCGUCAAGCUGCACCUUCCCGGACAGCCAGGGGACGAUGACUGGCUCUCGCAGGUUUGAUUGUCACACCUUACAUGUCACUGCUCAGAUCCAAUCCCAAUGGAUUAUUUGGUGCGCUGACAUUUGUGGGCAACAGAGUGAUCUGUAAAAUAAUAAAUAUUGUGCAAAAAGCAUACAAACCCUUUUGAGGCUUGUGAAGUGCCCAUUGUUCUCCCUGCAGCCAGGGUAAACAUCCCCUGCUCCUUUCCCCACCGAGAGGCCACAGUGCGGUCAAUAACCAGCUACAAAGAAGUCUGAGUUGGGAAGGGCGCAGAGGCAGGCUCUGCCGUAGACAUGACUGCACAGAGCAAAGCUACAGCCUCCGCUGGAGAUCAUGUGCACACUCCAUGGCCCUGCCGAUGCCUGCUGAUAGGCAAAGCCCGUCACCUGUCCUCAGUCACCCACACUGUGAGCCUCAGCUCUCGGGGAAGCGACCAGGUGGCCACAGGGGUUCUGGGAAGGCUGCCCCUGCAGCCCAGAGAACCUCAGGUGGGAGAGAGGUGUUGUGGAGUAGAGGAGGGACCUGAGAGUCAGGUGGCAAGAAACCUUAUACACUCAAAGCGAACACAUUGUGUGUUAUGUUAGGAUGGUGGUCACCCCGAGGGGUAGUGACUGGAAAGAGGGCUGUGUAGGGCUUCUGGGGGCUGGUGCUAUUCUGUUCCUUGGAUUGGGAGCUGUUCUCCAGAGAGGGGUUCAGAUUCUUAAAACCCAUCAGACUGUAUACUU